rnacentral:rRNA from 1 species
UCGCAAGACCAAAGAGGGGGACCUUCGGGCCUCUUGCCAUCAGAUGUGCCCAGAUGGGAUUAGCUUGUUGGUGAGGUAACGGCUCACCAAGGCGACGAUCCCUAGCUGGUCUGAGAGGAUGACCAGCCACACUGGAACUGAGACACGGUCCAGACUCCUACGGGAGGCAGCAGUGGGGAAUAUUGCACAAUGGGCGCAAGCCUGAUGCAGCCAUGCCGCGUGUAUGAAGAAGGCCUUCGGGUUGUAAAGUACUUUCAGCGGGGAGGAAGGUGUUGUGGUUAAUAACCGCAGCAAUUGACGUUACCCGCAGAAGAAGCACCGGCUAACUCCGUGCCAGCAGCCGCGGUAAUACGGAGGGUGCAAGCGUUAAUCGGAAUUACUGGGCGUAAAGCGCACGCAGGCGGUCUGUCAAGUCGGAUGUGAAAUCCCCGGGCUCAACCUGGGAACUGCAUUCGAAACUGGCAGGCUUGAGUCUUGUAGAGGGGGGUAGAAUUCCAGGUGUAGCGGUGAAAUGCGUAGAGAUCUGGAGGAAUACCGGUGGCGAAGGCGGCCCCCUGGACAAAGACUGACGCUCAGGUGCGAAAGCGUGGGGAGCAAACAGGA